AGUGAACGCUGGCGGUAGGCCUAACACAUGCAAGUCGAACGGCAGCACAGUAAGAGCUUGCUCUUACGGGUGGCGAGUGGCGGACGGGUGAGGAAUACAUCGGAAUCUACUUUUUCGUGGGGGAUAACGUAGGGAAACUUACGCUAAUACCGCAUACGACCUACGGGUGAAAGCAGGGGAUCUUCGGACCUUGCGCGAUUGAAUGAGCCGAUGUCGGAUUAGCUAGUUGGCGGGGUAAAGGCCCACCAAGGCGACGAUCCGUAGCUGGUCUGAGAGGAUGAUCAGCCACACUGGAACUGAGACACGGUCCAGACUCCUACGGGAGGCAGCAGUGGGGAAUAUUGGACAAAGGGCGCAAGCCUGAUCCAGCCAUACCGCGUGGGUGAAGAAGGCCUUCGGGUUGUAAAGCCCUUUUGUUGGGAAAGAAAAGCAGCAGGUUAAUACCCCGCUGUUCUGGCGGUACCCAAAGAAUAAGCACCGGCUAACUUCGUG
rnacentral:rRNA from 1 species